rnacentral:misc_RNA from 1 species
AACAAACUAAAUUCUUCACACACUACACAUGCAUAUAGUCUAGUAAUUAUGGCUAUAUCCCACUUUUCACAUAUAGACCUAGUUUCCAUCAAAGUUAGCAGAGUUGGCCCUACACAUAAAUGCAGCAUUCUCAAAGUUUUAUGAAUAUCUUCACCCAGAAACCAUGUUUCAGGUUUUUCCACCAGGACGAACAACUUCUCCAGAGUGAAGCAGAUCAAUCUAGGAAGAGCAGCAGCUGCUCUUCUCGGUAACAGGCUGCCCACGCAGGGGGACAGUCGAAGGCCUACCCACAUUAGCCGCUGGUUGACUCGCCAUCCGGUUCUUUAUCUCGGCUGUCAUGGUCAUGAAUGCCUGCUCUACGUUGCUAGAGUCCUUGGCACUAGUCUCGAGAAAUGGGAUCCCAAUCUCAUCGGCAAAUGCCUUAGCGGUUUCAUAAGAAACAACCUUCUUAUCCGUCAAAUCACUUUUGUUUCCCACCAAAAGCUUGUUCACAUUUUCACUCGCAUAUCGGUCAAUCUCACUCAGCCAUUGCUUAACAUUGUUGAAGCUUUCUUGGUCAGUCACAUCGUAAACAACAAUUAUGCCAUGAGCACCACGGUAGUAGCUGCUUGUGAUCGUCCGGAAGCGUUCCUGACCAGCAGUAUCCCAUAUCUGAAGUUUUAUGGUCUUCCCAUCCUGUUCCACUGUGCGGAUUUUGAAAUCUACGCCAAUGGUACUG